rnacentral:rRNA from 1 species
UCUGUUUGAUCCUGGCUCAGAUUGAACGCUGGCGGAACGCUUUACACAUGCAAGUCGAACGGUAACGCGGAGAGAAGCUUGCUUCUCUCCGGCGACGAGUGGCGAACGGGUGAGUAAUACAUCGGAACGUGUCCGCUCGUGGGGGACAACCAGCCGAAAGGUUGGCUAAUACCGCAUGAGUUCUACGGAAGAAAGAGGGGGACCCGCAAGGGCCUCUCGCGAGCGGAGCGGCCGAUGACUGAUUAGCCGGUUGGUGAGGUAACGGCUCACCAAAGCAACGAUCAGUAGCUGGUCUGAGAGGACGACCAGCCACACUGGGACUGAGACACGGCCCAGACUCCUACGGGAGGCAGCAGUGGGGAAUUUUGGACAAUGGGCGCAAGCCUGAUCCAGCUAUUCCGCGUGUGGGAUGAAGGCCCUCGGGUUGUAAACCACUUUUGUAGAGAACGAAAAGACACCUUCGAAUAAAGGGUGUUGCUGACGGUACUCUAAGAAUAAGCACCGGCUAACUACGUGCCAGCAGCCGCGGUAAUACGUAGGGUGCGAGCGUUAAUCGGAAUUACUGGGCGUAAAGGGUGCGCAGGCGGUUGAGUAAGACAGAUGUGAAAUCCCCGAGCUUAACUCGGGAAUGGCAUAUGUGACUGCUCGACUAGAGUGUGUCAGAGGGAGGUGGAAUUCCACGUGUAGCAGUGAAAUGCGUAGAUAUGUGGAAGAACACCGAUGGCGAAGGCAGCCUCCUGGGACAUAACUGACGCUCAGGCACGAAAGCGUGGGGAGCAAACAGGAUUAGAUACCCUGGUAGUCCACGCCCUAAACGAUGUUAACUAGUUGUUGGGAAGUAAAAUUCUCAGUAACGCAGCCAACGCGAGAAGUUAACCGCCUGGGAAGUACGGUCGCAAGACUAAAACUCAAAGGAAUUGACGGGGACCCGCACAAGCGGUGGAUGAUGUGGAUUAAUUCGAUGCAACGCGAAAAACCUUACCUACCCUUGACAUGUCAGGAAGCUCUUGUAAUGAGAGCGUGCCCGCAAGGGAGCCUGAACACAGGUGCUGCAUGGCUGUCGUCAGCUCGUGUCGUGAGAUGUUGGGUUAAGUCCCGCAACGAGCGCAACCCUUGCCAUUAGUUGCUACGAAAGGGCACUCUAAUGGGACUGCCGGUGACAAACCGGAGGAAGGUGGGGAUGACGUCAAGUCCUCAUGGCCCUUAUAGGUGGGGCUACACACGUCAUACAAUGGCUGGUACAAAGGGUUGCCAACCCGCGAGGGGGAGCUAAUCCCAUAAAGCCAGUCGUAGUCCGGAUCGCAGUCUGCAACUCGACUGCGUGAAGUCGGAAUCGCUAGUAAUCGUGGAUCAGAAUGUCACGGUGAAUACGUUCCCGGGUCUUGUACACACCGCCCGUCACACCAUGGGAGCGGGUCUCGCCAGAAGUAGGUAGCCUAACCGCAAGGAGGGCGCUUACCACGGCGGGGUUCGUGACUGGGGUGAAGUCGUAACAAGGUAGCCGUAUCGGAAGGUGCGGCUG